UGUGGUGUAAUUUUUGCACCAAGUUACCAUUAUCUUGGAACCCGCUUGAAACUGGAGUAUCAUUUAUCGUAUUUUAAGUACGGUUCAUGGAGGCUCAAGGAUUCACUUCCUUUUAUUACGGCAGCGGCAAAACACAAAUAACGUGGAAAAGAAACUUUCCGCCUCACCUCGAACGAGGUGCGUUAAAAACCCAUUUUGAAACAGCUAAGGCAAGGAUGAGGAUAACUGUGGCCUCUUGUUGCUUGAGGUGAAAAGUAAACAGGAGAAAUGCUUGGUUCUGGCAAGGAGGAAUCAAAGGCACCUCAAUAAACUGAAAAAGGCGUCAGAAGAACUCAUAGACAGUCUACUGAAGGCACAGGAAAGGAAAACCAAAGCCAGUAACUGUAUUCUUUCUAGCUUUGCACGCGAUAUCUAUCAAAGUCUUCAAUCAAACUUUUUUAGAUCUGGUGGAAUAGCAUCCCUCCUAAAACAAGAAGGUGACCUAAGUUCAGAUGUUCAACAAUUCAGGCCUGAAAGGGACUUGAACCCAGACCUCUGCGAUGCCUGUGCAGUGCGAUUACGUUUAGCUAUCAUGUUAGCUUGGAGCCUCUAUGAUCUUCCUAGUUAUGAGCGCUGCUUAAGGGACCACUCAUUAUUUAAGUCGGAGGGGGGGUGAAGGAGAUAAUGGGGGGGCCCUCAAUUUUUUUUUGGUAAAAUAUAGGGGGCCUUGAAUGGUCAAAGGAGGGUUGGGGGGUGUCGUCUUAAUAAAAGUAAGAAACUUUCGCUUGCCAUAGUUUGAUAUUAUGUUUGAAGAUGGGGUCCUGAAUUUUUGAAACAAAUCGAAGCCGAAAAACGUGAAAGCUCUCAGGUUCGGGUCUGGAAAUUUUUUUGCAUCAAAAACAUUUUCUCCUACACCCCUCCCCCGCUCCGACUUAAAUAAUGCUUCGUCCCUAAGUUGUAGCGAGAAAGGUCUGAGACGUUUUUCAGCCGGAUUAGCAUGCUCUUUUUGUUGCUGUAGGUUGAUGGCUAGUGAGUUAAUGUGUUGUACUGUACGUAGCGAAGUGAAGUGUUAUAUACAAGUCACUGAAGAGCGAAAAACAAAUUAAAUACAAUGCGUGAACGUACUACGAAGAGAAUGCUUUUCAGAAUGAAAGACGAAGUAUAAGUGUAUUUAUAGCGUUAUCAAGACAUCGAGAAAUUAUCUUGUUACCAAACAAACCUCUAGAGGCCAAAGAAGUUUAACCUCGUCAUCCGACCCACGGGAUAUCGGCAAAUCAGAUUUACUGUCUCGCCAAAGGCUAGAGGCAGCUGAGGCAGCUGAGGCAGCUGCGUGAUGGACUGAGGACAUUGACGGAACUGGGGUUGUCCUUUUUUUGCCGUCUUCCAUGUCGUCGGGAAGAAAUGAUGGCGGGGAAGGAAUCUGCGCCAAGAGGGUUUCAACAGAGUUUUCUUCCCGAUCGCGUGCUUCUGUGGUCUCAUAUUCUUCAUCAGACCGUUGCUCAGUUUGAUGGCGACAACUUUCCUGCGCAUUAUUCGAUGUUUCGCUGGCAAGCAAAGGAGUAUCGCUCAUGUUCUGAAAAGAAACUUCUUUCUUCGUGUUCAAAGAGAUCGCUGGUGGAACAGGCAUUGUGAAUGCAUUCGUCACUCAGCGAAAUCACGUCGAAAAAAGCAAUCUCUCUCCAAUUGGUCAACAGUUAAUUGGUACGAUCGCUGUUCACGGGUUCAACCUCGUUCCCAUUUCCUUGUGUUCGUUCUCGUUCUCGGAUCUAAAGCUCUGUCCCGCCCGGUCAACGGAGUACCGUACAAGGAAAGUUUUGGGAACAGGGAGCCAACCUCUCACUAGUGAGUGUUAAUUCUUAUUAAUGAGGUGUAAAUAGGUCUAUGGUAAAAGGUCACUAUCAUCACGGUUCCAAGAAAUUUUGGCGGGAUACCCUGCAGUAUUAGGCGUAUUUUAGAAGUUACACGUCUACCAGAGACGACGCAGCGACGACGGAAGGGCCCGACGGCAGCGUUCGCGACCGAAAGGAACUGGGACGAGGACCUCGUUCUGUGUCUGAAAAGGCUUUUGAGUGACUUUAACGUUGUGGUUAACCAAAUUCUUUUUAUGGUUUCCCUGAAACACCACGAAUGUACGGGACAACGACAAAACCAGAAGUCGAAACCUCAGUUCACCGAAUCGUCCAGUAUCCGCCGUCAUUGCCAAUUUGGUAAUGGAAGAUGUUGAACAAAGGGCUUUGGCCUCAUCGCCUACUCAACCUUCGUUUUGGAAAAAGUACGUUGACGAUGUCAUUUCUGCGGUAUCAUGUAAAUGAAGUGGAACGCCUUCUAUCACAUUUGAAUUCGAUCGGACUGUCUAUCCAAUUCUCCUUCGAACGUGAGAACGAAAUAUGUUUGCCCUUUCUUGUUUUAAAUGUUCAUACAACGGACCGGGGAAAUCCAGAAACAAGUGAAGUGUUUUCCGUAAAUCCACACACACCCGCAAAUAUUUAACUUUUGACUCUCACCUUCCUAUUUGCCAUAAUAAAAGACGUGCGAAGGUGGUUUU